rnacentral:SRP_RNA from 1 species
CGGGAGGCGGGGCGGACGAGCCGCUCGCCAACCCGGUCAGGUCCGGAAGGAAGCAGCCGUAACGAGAUUCGCUUGGGUCGAUCUCGCCUCCCACCU